UUUCCCAGAGAACACGGAAAUCAGACAGUGCACCCAGUCUCCACCAAAUAUACCUCCCCCCUCCGGUCUUUUGUUCCUCGAUGAAUUUAAUGGAAACCCAAUGCUUGGAUCACAUUCAAACCUCCCUCUGUCUCCCGCAAGAGCUUAAAGAUGUUCUGUGAGAAGCAGCUGUGAAGAGGGAAUGUGAUCGGUUAAAUGCGAGCAGAGCCGAAAGCCUGAAAAGAACUCUACAGCCUAAUCAUGGUUUAUUGAAAACCCUGGCAAGGCUGCUCCUGACUGACAGCCUACCUGCACCCCCAGUGAAACAGUUCAGUGAAGACCACUUCGCCUCUGCCCGGAGGCCCACCGUUGCAGCUAGCAGAACUCUGUACCGAGGGCAGCGUUUGUACUGGAACUCCAUUCAUCAUGUUUACCAAAAGGAUGCUUGUGAGGACAAAGGCGUGGGGGCUCUGUCUACUGGGACUAUUCCUUGAAACAAAUUCUCCCCUUCAAUCCAUUCAGAACAGUAUGUGGAAGACAGAAGAGAGAAUUGGUGGACAGAACCAACUUUGCCAUCAGACAAUCUGAAAUUGAAUCUUCCUUCUGCUUCUAAGUUGUCAUCUACCUUCUCUGAACCUCAGUUUCCACAAGUCCAGCAGGCACCUCAGGAUAGGCCUUCUCUAUUUGUUUGUGGUGAGAAUUAAGUGAGAUAACCUCUGUAAAGGUCUCUCCACGGUGCCUGACUUUGAUAGACCUUGAAGAAACACAAGGAGAUGGAGGGGAGGUCAAGUUCACUGAGGCAUUGUGGAGACCUUCCCUCCGUGGCCCUUAUCUUCUUGGAAUCAUGAAACUGAAGGGGAGCUUAGGGACCACGCACUUGCUUCUCAAAUGUUAGUGCACACCUCAAUCACCUAAGGAACUUUCUGUUUUAAAAUCUAGAUUCUUGGGCCCUUCCCCCAUGUCUACUCAAUUAGAACCUCUGGGAUGGAUUUCUGACCUUAGUAUGUUUAAAAAAAACAGCUCCCAAGUGAUUCUAGUAAGACA
ensembl:lncRNA